AUACUUACCUGGCAGGGAGAUACCAUGAUCAAGAAGGUGGUUUUCCCAGGGCAAGGCUUAUCCAUUGCACUCCAGAUGUGCUGACCCCUGCCAUUUCCCCAAAUGUGGGAAACUCGACUGCAUAAUUUGUGGUAGUGGUGGACUGCAAUCACGUUUUCCCCUU
rnacentral:snRNA from 1 species